GACGAACGCUGGCGGCGUGCUUAACACAUGCAAGUCGAACGGAAAGUCCCUGCUUUUGUGGGGUGCUCGAGUUGCGAACGGGUGAGUAACACUUGAGUAACCUGUCCCUGACUUUGGGAUAACUUCAUGAAACUUGGGCUAAUACCGGAUAGGAGCUCCUGCUUCUUGGUGGGGGUUGGAUAGUUUCGGCGGUUGGGGAUGGACUCGCGUCUUAUCAGCUUGUUGCUGGGGUAGUGUCUUAGCAAGGCUUUGACCGGUAGCAGUGCUGAGAGGGGGACCGGACAAACUGGGACUGAAAUACGACACAGACUCGUACGGGAGGCAGCGGUGGAGAAGGUUGCACAAGGGGCGGAAGGCAGGUGCAGCAACGCAGCGUGGGGGAUGAGGGGCUUGGGGUUGUAAACCGAAUUCGCCUGUGACGAAGCGUGAGUGACGGUAAUGGGUAAAGAAGCUCCGGCUAACUACGUG
rnacentral:rRNA from 1 species